rnacentral:lncRNA from 1 species
AAAAAAAAAAAAAAAAAAAAAGGGUCUUUGCUGUCACAAUUAAGCCUCUCAACAUGAGAUCAUCCUGGAUUGUUUAGAUGGGCCCUAAAUAUCACAACUAGAGUUUUGUUGUUGUUGUUGUUGGUUUGUUUCUUUGUUUUUGUGACGGAGUCUCACUCUAUCACCCGGCUGGAGUGCAGUGGUGUGAUCUUGGCUCACUGCAACCUCCACCUCCCGGGUCCAAGCGACUUUCCUGCCUCACCGUCCUGAGUAGCUGGGAUGACAGGUGCCCCCACCACACCCAGCCUAAUUUUUGUAUUUUUAGUAGAGACGGGGUUUCACCAUGUUGGCCAGGCUGGUCUCGAACUCCUGACCUCAAGCGAACAACUAGCAUUUUUAUAAACUACAGAAGACGGUGGCUAUUCAUCUGCCCCCUCUCUCCUGGGUAUUUGCGUGUCAGGUGCAGAGAUGGAGUCUUCUGAGGGCGCACAUCACAGCGUAGACAGAAAGUUGAGGUUGUACAUGCCGCAGGUUCCAGAUGGAAAUCACUAGUGCCUCCUCUUCUCUCUAAUAGGCACACUAGACACAGCAGGUGCAUUUUGGCGGUGGGAUGAGGUCCGACAGUCACCUUUAUUUUUUAUUUAUGUAUUCAUUAGUAUUAUUAUUUUUUGAGACUGAGUCUUAAACUGUCACCCAGGCUGGAGUGCAGUGGCGGCAUCUCGGCUCACUGCAACCUCCACUUCCCAGGUUCAAGGGAUUCUCCUGCCUCAGCCUCCUGAGUAGCUGGGAUUAUAGGCGCCCAUCACCAUGCCCAGCUAAUUUUUGUAUUUUUAGUAGGGACGGGGUUCGCCAUGUUGGUGAGGCUGGUCUCCAACUCUUUUUUUUUUUUUUUUUUUUUUUUGAGACGGAGUCUCGCUGUCUCCCAGGCUGGAGUUCAGUGCCUCAAUCUCGGCUCACUGCAAGCUCCACCUCCCGUGUUCUCGCCAUUCUCCUGCCUCAGCCUCCCCAGUAGCUGGGACUACAGGCGCCCGCCACCACACCUGGCUAAUUUUUUGUAUUUUUAGCCAUGGGGUUUCACCAUGUUAGCCAGGAUGGUCUCAAUCUCCUGACCUCGUGAUCUGCCUGCCUCGGCCUCCCAAAGUGCUGGGAUUACAGACAUGUGCCACCACGCCUGGCUAAUUUUUUGUAUUUUUAGUAGAGAUGGGGUUUCACCGUGUUGGCCAGGCUGGUCUCGAACUCCUGACCUUGGAUGAUCUGCUCGCCUCGGCCUCCCAAAUUGCUGGGAUGACAGACGUGAACCACCGUGCCUGGCCGACAGUCACCUUUAGAAUGUGAACAGUGGACACUGUGUUGGGGUCUCCUACCUGUGCCUGUGAUGUGGACUGGCCCAUCUCGUCAUGGACAAGUAGAGAUGGGGUUUCACCAUGUUGAGCAGUCUGGUCUUGAACUUCUGACCUCGUGAUCCACCCGCCUCAGCCCCCCAAAGUGCUGGGAUUACAGGCGUGAGCCACCGCGCCCGGCCUGAGACGGCUUUCCAAGGCUGCAGAAAUGAAGUCUGCAAUAGCAGAUCCUCUUUGCCUGGGUUUGCACGUGAUCCAGCAAACCACCCACCGACCCGUUGCCUCAUGUGAGACAUCCUCAGGGAACAGCAAGUCUCGCUGUUCUUGGAAGGGACUUCCAGCCUGGAAAGAAAAGGGAGGGAUAAGAGAGCAUCUGUGGAUCUUCCUGGCAUAUUCCUUCUCCUACAAGGGGAUCCGGUACCGAAUGCAGCAUCUACCAACCACAGGCACUGGAUGUAACUAUGCUUUGAAUUUUGAAGGUCCCUGAUAAGACAUCUUUGAGGUCAGGCAUAAAUCAUCACUUCACAUCUUGACGGCAAUGCAACGAAGACAAGUAUCUGUCUCUUUGGGUCUGUCUAACAAGGAGCAAAGCCUGGCCUCCCACCAGCAUCCAGACAAUAGUGGAUUCCCUCUCCAUAGAUGUCAAAAAAGAAACAGAUGCUCCCGCAGGUGAAAUGAGCUCUGGUCCACAAUGCAACGCAGGCUGUGCAGAAAAUCAAAGAGGAACCAACCCAGAAGUAUCCCCCAGGACAAAUCAUUAAGGGGGAAAAGAUAUAAGAAGGGCCCUAAAUGCAAUGACAGCUGUUCUAAGAGACAGAAGAGGAGACGCAGACACAGAGGAGAAGGCCACGUGUAGACAGAGGCAGAGACUGCAGUGAUGUGGCCACAAGCCCAGGGAUGCCUGGAGCCCCCAGGAGCUGGGAGAGGCAGGAAGGAUCCUCCUCUAGAGCCUCCAGAAGGAACUGGAUACAAUUGGAAUGGGUUAUAUGGUGAUCCCCAAAAUAUAUGUUUAUUUCCUUUUCCCCAGAACCUAUAAAUGCAAUCUUACUUGGAAACAGGAUCUCUGCAAAUGUAAUUAGUGAAGGAUCUUGAAAUAAAACCUGUCCUAGAUUAGGGGGUCCUAAAUGCAAGGACAGGUGUCCUUCUAAACACAGAAGGGGAGACCCAGACAGAGGAGAAGGCCACAUGGAGACAGAGACUGGAGUGGUGUAGCCACGAGCCCAGGAAUGCUGGGAGCCCCUGGGA